UUUAUAAUCUGUGUUGCCAAGGGUUAAGCAUUAGUCGUUAAGUUAUUUUUCAUUACGUUAAGUGAGCUUAAAUUCGUAUUUUUUUAUUAUUUGCAAAUUCACUUCUUUUUAAAGUCUGUGCACUAGUAAACAUUUUAGGUAUCAAUUAAAUUUAAUAAUAGUUUAAGCGAACAUAAAUGUGCUUUGAAUGUCUAAGCUUUAAAGCACAAGUGCGUUCAAAGUGUUAAUAAAAAUGUUACACAUACGAAGUUGAGCAAAACAUGCACUGACAGCCAAAUUUAUACCAAAAUAAAAUUUUAAAUGCUAAUUUACUUUAUAAAGCAUCUAAAAACCAAUUUAAUUUUCUAUGGAUAAUACUAAGUUCAGAUGGCCAGCUAAAUUGAACGAUUAGGAAACUAAAGGUAAAUUAAACGAACUCAAUUUAAAAACAACAAAUAAUUGAAAUUAUUAUAUUGAGUAAAGGUUAUCACUCAAAACUGUAAGACUUGGUUAAGAAACGCAAAAAUAUUCAAAUAAAAUAGCGGAUGCCGAUUAAAUACGCGACAAAUAAAAAAUGAAAUAAAAUUCAUUUUUAAAACAGAUAAUAAAAAUUCAAAAUUGACGGCAGUUAAUUACUAUGAUGUGCCUGUGAGAUUACUAAUCUACAUAAAUUUAUUGUGAGUGAACACGAAAUUUAAUAACUCAAUUUAGCCGACUAUUUGAACACAGCAUAAGGAGUUUAAGGUCUUUAAAAAAAAAAACGCUAAAGCAGCUAACGCAUACUCCCAUCAAAAGUUGUUAUGCGCCUUUUUUUAGAAUACAAUACAUCAGUUAUAAUUAUGAAGUAGUUUUAAAUAAUGACAAUUUACUAGAACACUAAAAAACUAAAAAAAAGUAAUAAUUAUAUUUAUAAUAUUUAACGUUUUUCGUUACAAAUAUGUGUGUACAAGUACAAGAACAUUUUCUUAAUCGUUCAGCUUAAUAUUUUUCAAUCUAAGUAAUUAACACAUGGUUGCAUUUCGAUAACACUCGCGCAUAUUUAGCUAGUAAUAACUACAUAGCAAAAUUAUUUUGUUUUAUUAAAUGUUUCUCGAUUGCUACCUUAUUGGAUUUUCUAUUCGCUUCACAUUAAAUGAAUGAAAUCUUAAAGCGUUUAUCAAAAUUUUCACUCAAGUUCGUAAAAUUUAUUUUUUUUUCGUUUAAGGCUUUAGGUUGUGGUAGUCGAAAUAGUUAAUCAAAAAAUGCAUAGCAGCAAACGCAAAGAAAAAAAUAUUUAAUAAAAAACAAAUAUUUUUUCGUAGUCUGCAACAGCAAAUGAGUAGACCAACCCUAUUUCACUUUUUUGCUUCACCUGGACGCUUGCUUCCGCUCUAAAUACAAUUGCAGAGCGCUAAGACAAGAGUCCUGUUGGUGGAAAUUUUUCGAAACCAUUUUUUUUUCUAAUUUUCUAAUGGUACAUUAAAACAUAUUUGCGAUUCGUUUAAGUCAAAAUAUAAAAUUUUGAAGCAAAAAUUUCUUUGUGUGGCAAUAUUAGCGAUUUCUUCAAGCGAGUAUUGGGCAUGUAUUUUUUCGAUUUUUUU